rnacentral:rRNA from 1 species
CAGCAGCCACGGGAAUACGAAGGGUGCAAGCGUUACUCGGAAUUACUGGGCGUAAAGCGUGCGUAGGUGGUGGUUUAAGUCCGUUGUGAAAGCCCUGGGCUCAACCUGGGAAUUGCAGUGGAUACUGGGUCACUAGAGUGUGGUAGAGGAUAGUGGAAUUUCCGGUGUAGCAGUGAAAUGCGUAGAGAUCGGAAGGAACAUCUGUGGCGAAGGCGACUAUCUGGGCCAACACUGACACUGAGGCACGAAAGCGUGGGGAGCAAACAGGAUUAGAUACCCGGGUAGUCCCUGUCUCUUAUAC